AUGGCGGCCACUGAGGGGGUCGGAGAGGCUGCGCAGGGCAGCGAGUCCGGGCAGCCGGAGCCGCCACCGCCCCAGCCGCACCCUCCGCCGCCCCAGCAGCAGCAGGAAGAAGCUAUGGCGGCUGAGCCCGGAGAAGCGGUGGUGUCCCCUAUGGACGACAGGUUCCUGAGCCUGGACUCGCCCACCUAUGUCCUGUACAGGGACAGAGCAGAAUGGGCUGAUAUAGAUCCAGUACCGCAGAAUGAUGGCCCCAACCCAGUGGUCCAGAUCAUUUAUAGUGAAAAAUUUAGAGAUGUUUAUGAUUAUUUCCGGGCUGUCCUGCAGCGUGAUGAAAGAAGUGAACGAGCUUUUAAACUAACCAGGGAUGCUACUGAGUUAAAUGCAGCCAAUUAUACAGUGUGGCAUUUUCGGAGAGUUCUCUUAAAGUCACUUCAAAAGGAUCUACGUGAGGAAAUGAACUACAUCACUGCAAUAAUUGAGGAACAGCCCAAAAACUAUCAAGUUUGGCAUCAUAGGCGAGUAUUAGUGGAAUGGCUAAAAGAUCUAUCUCAGGAGCCUGAAUUUAUUGCUGAUAUUCUUAAUCAGGAUGCAAAGAAUUAUCAUGCCUGGCAACAUCAACAGUGGGUUAUUCAGGAAUUUAAACUUUGGGAUAAUGAGCUGCAGUAUGUAGACCAACUUCUUAAAGAGGAUGUGAGAAAUAACUCUGUCUGGAACCAAAGAUACUUUGUAAUUUCUAACACCACUGGCUACAAUGAUCGUGCUAUAUUGGAGAGAGAAGUCCAGUACACUCUAGAAAUGAUCAAAUGAGUACCACAUAAUGAAAGUGCAUGGAACUAUUUGAAAGGGAUUUUACAGGAUCGUGGUCUUUCCAAAUAUCCAAAUCUGUUAAAUCAGUUACUUGAUUUACAACCAAGUCACAGUUCCCCCUACCUAAUUGCCUUUCUCGUGGAUAUCUAUGAAGACAUGCUAGAAAACCAAUGUGACAAUAAGGAGGACAUUCUUAAUAAAGCAUUAGAGUUGUGUGAAAUUCUAGCUAAAGAAAAGGACACUAUAAGAAAAGAAUAUUGGAGAUAUAUUGGAAGAUCCCUUCAAAGCAAACACAGCACAGAGAGUGACCCACCAACAAAUGUACAGCCAUAACACCAUCUGGAAGAACUCGAUGGAAUGCUUUUAUUUUUUUUAAGAGACUCUAAUGCAGGAGUUUAAAACUAAAGCGAUCAUUCCCUUUGCCUGUGGUGUAAAACAUGCAUUGCACAGGUACUGCUUUUUAACAA